AUUGAACGCUGGCGGCAGGCCUGGCACAUGCAAGUCGAACGGUAACAGGAAGAAGCUUGCUUCUUUGCUGACGAGUGGCGGACGGGUGAGUAAUGUCUGGGAAACUGCCUGAUGGAGGGGGAUAACUACUGGAAACGGUAGCUAAUACCGCAUAACGUCGCAAGACCAAAGAGGGGGACCUUCGGGCCUCUUGCCAUCGGAUGUGCCCAGAUGGGAUUAGCUAGUAGGUGGGGUAACGGCUCACCUAGGCGACGAUCCCUAGCUGGUCUGAGAGGAUGACCAGCCACACUGGAACUGAGACACGGUCCAGACUCCUACGGGAGGCAGCAGUGGGGAAUAUUGCACAAUGGGCGCAAGCCUGAUGCAGCCAUGCCGCGUGUAUGAAGAAGGCCUUCGGGUUGUAAAGUACUUUCAGCGGGGAGGAAGGGAGUAAAGUUAAUACCUUUGCUCAUUGACGUUACCCGCAGAAGAAGCACCGGCUAACUCCGUG
rnacentral:rRNA from 1 species